rnacentral:snRNA from 1 species
GUGCUCACUUUGGCAGCACAUAUACUAAAAUGGGAAUGACACAGAGAAGAUUAGCAUGGCCCCUGUGCAAGGAUGACACCAAAUUCGUGAAGCAUUCCGUUAAAAG